rnacentral:tRNA from 1 species
AUUUAUAUAGUUUAAAAAACAUUUUAUUUUCAUUAAAAAAAUAUUGACGAAAGUCAAUUAUAAAUA